UUUAGUCAGGCAACGAGCGAGACCCGUGCCCACUGUUACCAGCAUGUCCUCCGGGAUGAUGGGUACACUGUGGGGACCGCCGCUGCUAAAGCGGAGGAAGGAAUGGGCAACGGUAGGUCAGUAUGCCCCGAAUAUCCCGGGCUACACGCGAGCUACAAUGGUUGGUACAAUGGGUAUCUACCCCGAAAGGGGAUGGAAAUCUCCUAAAGCCAAUCUUAGUUCGGAUUGAGGGCUGCAACUCGCCCUCAUGAAGCUGGAAUCCGUAGUAAUCGCGUUUCAACAGAACGCGGUGAAUACGUCCCUGCUCCUUGCACA
rnacentral:rRNA from 1 species